AUACAUUUCUCGGUCUUUUAGCUAAGAUGAACUGUAACAUUUGUUCUUACUAUCAAUUUAAUAUCUGAUAUAUGAAUAAUAUAUUCACUUUGGUAUUAAAUUUAUUUGUUAUGAGUACUUUUUGUGGGGAGGCUCUAGGGAUGGCAACGGGGAUUCCCCCGUCGGGGAUUGGCUCCCCAUCCCCGUCCCCGCGGGAGAAAAAUU
rfam:Zea mays cultivar B73 chromosome 5, whole genome shotgun sequence.